GGUUGAUCCUGCCAGUAGUCAUAUGCUUGUCCCAAAGAUUAAGCCAUGCAAGUCUAAGUAUAAAUCAAUCUAUACGGUGAAACUGCGAAUGGCUCAUUAAAUCAGUUAUAAUUUACUUGGCAAUCUCUUACUACAUGGAUAACCGUGGUAAUUCUAUGGCUAAUACAUGCAAAAAGCCCGACUCACGGAGGGCUGUAUUUAUUAGAUAAAAAACCAAUGCCGGUAACGGCUGCUGGUGAUUCAUAAUAACUUUGCGGAUCGUAUGGCCUUGUGCCGACGACGUGCCAUUCAAA
rnacentral:rRNA from 1 species